rnacentral:rRNA from 1 species
GCAAGUCGAACGGGAACUCCAAGAUGAGACUUCGGUGGAUUUUUGGAAAUUCUAGUGGCGGACGGGUGAGUAACGCGUAGGGUAACCUGCCCUUAAGAGGUGAAUAACAGCGAGAAAUCGCUGCUUAAAUACACCAUAUGCUUACGGAAUCGCAUGAUUUUGUGAGGAAAGAAUUUCGCUUAAGGAUGGACCCGCCGUUUGAUUAGCCAGUUGGCAGGGUAACGGCCUACCAAAGCCAACGAUCAAUAGCCGGCCUGAGAGGGUGAACGGCCACAUUGGAACUGAGACACGGUCCAAACUCCUACGGGAGGCAGCAGUGGGGAGUAUUGCACAAUGGGCGCAAGCCUGAAUGCAGCAACGCCGCGUUGAGUGGAAGAAGUAUUUCGGUAUGUAAAGCUCUAUCGUAUGGGGAAUAAAAUGAAGGUACCCAAGUAAGAAGCCCCGGCUAACUACGUGCCAGCCGCCGC